rnacentral:rRNA from 14 species
UGAAGAUAUAGUACCGAAAGGGGCGAACCCGGGGAACUGAAACAUCUAAGUACCCGGAGGAAGAGAAAACAAGAGUGAUUCCGCUAGUAGUGGCGAGCGAACGCGGAAUAGCCCAAACCGUAUCUGUUACGGCAGGUACGGGGUUGUAGGACCACGACAUUAGAACUGCGAUGAACUAGAACACGUUGGAAAGCGUGGCCAUAGACGGUGAUAGCCCGGUAUAGGUAAAGGACAGGGAUAUAGUGGUAUCCUGAGUAGUGCGGGGCACGUGAAACCCUGUAUGAAUCCGGCGGGACCAUCCGCCAAGGCUAAAUACUCCUGAGAGACCGAUAGUGAACCAGUACCGUGAGGGAAAGGUGAAAAGAACCCUGAACAAGGGAGUGAAAAAGAUCCUGAA